rnacentral:lncRNA from 1 species
AUGCAGAAUUCUAGGGUAAUGUUUCUUUCUCUUCAACACUUUAAAUAUUUCACUUCACCCUCUUCUUACAUGCAUAAUUUUAGAGAAGAAGUCAGAUCUCAAUUCAUAUGUUUGUUCCUCUGUAGGUGUGGUAUUAUUCCCCCUCUGGCCUCAUUCAAAAUUUCUUUAUCUUUGAUUUUCUGUAGUUUGAAUGUUGUAUGCCUGUGUGUAAUUUGGGGAGAACUGAAUCAUGAUGGUGUUAUCACUUAUCUAGAGCCAGACAUCCUGGAAUGUGAAGUCAAGUGGGCCUUAGAAAGCAUCACUAUGAACAAAGCUAGUAGAGGUGAUGGAAUUCCAGUUGAGCUAUUUCAAAUCCCAAAAGAUGAUGCUGUGAAAGUGCUGCACUCAAUAUGCCAGCAAAUUGGGAAAAUUCAGGAGUGGCCACAGAACUGGAAAACGUCAGUUUUUAUUCCAAUCCCAAAGAAAGGCAAUGCCAAAGAAUGCUCAAACUACCGCACAACUGCACUCAUCUCACAUGCUAGGAAAGUAAUGCUCAACAUUCUCCAAGCCAGGCUUCAGCAAUACGUGAACUGUGAACUUCCUGACGUUCAAGCUGGUUUUAGAAAAGGCAGAGGAACCAGAGAUCAAAUUGCCAACAACCGCUGGAUCAUGGAAAAAGCAAGAGAUUUCCAGAAACACAUCUAUUUCUGCUUUAUUGACUAUGCCAAAGCCUUUGAUUGUGUGGAUCACAAUAAACUGUGGAAAAUUCUGAAAGAGAUGGGAAUACCAGACCACCUGACCUGCCUCUUGAGAAAUCUGUAUGCAGGUCAGGAAGCAACAGUUAGAACUGGACAUGGAACAACAGACUGGUUCCAAAUAGGAAAAGGAGUACGUCAAGGCUGUAUACUGUCACCCUGCUUAUUUAACUUCUAUGCAGAGUACAUCAUGAGAAACGCUGGGCUGGAAGAAGCACAAGCUGGAAUCAAGAUUACCAGGAGAAAUAUCAAUAACCUCAGAUAUGCAGAUGACACCACCCUUAUGGCAGAAAGUGAAGAGGAACUAAAAAGCCUGUUGAUGAAAGUGAAAGAGGAGAGUGAAAAAGUUGGCUUAAAGCUCAACAUUCAGAAAACGAAGAUCAUGGCAUCCAGUCCCAUCACUCCAUGGGAAAUAGAUGGGGAAACAGUGGAAACAGUGUUAGACUUUGUUUUUCUGGGCUCCAAAAUCACUGCAGAUGGUGACUGCAGCCAUGAAAUUAAAAGAUGCUUACUACUUGGAAGAAAAGUUAUGACCAAUCUAGACAGUAUAUUCAAAAGCGGAGACAUUACUUUGCUGACUAAGGUCCGUCUAGUCAAGGCUAUGGUUUUUCCUGUGGUCAUGUAUGGAUGUGAGAGUUGGACUGUGAAGAAGGCUGAGCACCAAAGAAUUGAUGCUUUUGAACUGUGGUGUUGGAGAAGACUCUUGAGAGUCCCUUGGACUGCAAGGAGAUCCAACCAGUCCUUUCUAUAG